rnacentral:rRNA from 1 species
ACUGCUCAGUAACACGUAUAGGAAUUGGCGGGGGAGCACCCUGCCCAAGGAUGGGUCUGCGGCCUAUCAGGUAGUAGUGGGUGUAAUGUACCUACUAGCCUACGACGGGUACGGGUUGUGAGAGCAAGAGCCCGGAGAUGGAUUCUGAGACAUGAAUCCAGGCCCUACGGGGCGCAGCAGGCGCGAAAACUUUACAAUGCGGGAAACCGUGAUAAGGGGACACCGAAUGCCAGCAUCCUAUGCUGGCUGUCCAGGUGUGUAAACUACACCUGUUAGCAAGGGCCGGGCAAGACCGGUGCCAGCCGCCGCGGUAACACCGGCGGCCCGAGUGGUGAUCGUGAUUAUUGGGUCUAAAGGGUCCGUAGCCGGUUUGGUCAGUCCUCCGGGAAAUCUGACAGCUUAACUGUUAGGCUUUCGGAGGAUACUGCCAGACUUGGAACCGGGAGAGGUAAGAGGUACUACAGGGGUAGGAGUGAAAUCUUGUAAUCCCUGUGGGACCACCUGUGGCGAAGGCGUCUUACCAGAACGGGCUCGACGGUGAGGGACGAAAGCUGGGGGCACGAACCGGAUUAGAUACCCGGGUAGUCCCAGCCGUAAACGAUGCUCGCUAGGUGUCAGGCAUGGCGCGACCGUGUCUGGUGCCGCAGGGAAGCCGUGAAGCGAGCCACCUGGGAAGUACGGCCGCAAGGCUGAAACUUAAAGGAAUUGGCGGGGGAGCAC